rnacentral:rRNA from 1 species
AUACGUAGGGUGCAAGCGUUAAUCGGAAUUACUGGGCGUAAAGCGUGCGCAGGCGGACCGUUAAGUCAGCGGUGAAGAUCUGGUGCUUAACAUCAGGAGUGCCGUUGAUACUGGCGGACUAGAGUAUGAUUGACGUAAGUGGAAUGUAGCAUGUAGCGGUGAAAUGCAUAGAGAUGCUGCAGAACACCGAUAGCGAAGGCAGCUUACGAAGUCACAAGAGACUCUUGGGCACGAGAGCGUGGGGAGCGAACAGGUUUAGAUACCCUAGUACGCCACGCAGUAAACGAUGAUAACUGGCUUUUGGCGAUAGGCGGUCAGAGGCUGAGAGAAAUCAAUAAGUUGGCCGCCUGGGGAGUACGGUGGCAACAUUGAAACUCAAAUGAAUUGACGGGG